GAGUUUGAUCGUGGCUCAGGACGAACGCUGGCGGCGCGCCUAACACAUGCAAGUCGAGCGGGGAGAGCGAUAGUUUACUAGAGUUUUCCUAGCGGCGGACGGGUGAGUAACACGUGAAGAACCUGCCUUACAGAGGGGGACAACAGCUGGAAACGGCUGCUAAUACCGCAUAACGUUUAGUUGGGGCAUCCCGAUUAAACCAAAGGAGCAAUCCGCUGUAAGAUGGCUUCGCGUCCGAUUAGACAGUUGGCGGGUAACGCCCAACAAAUCUACGAUCGGUAGCCGGACUGAGAGGUUGAACGGCCACAUUGGGACUGAGACACGGCCCAGACUCCUACGGGAGGCAGCGAGUGGGGAUAUUGCACAUGGAGGAAACUCUGAUGCAGCGACGCGCGUGAGG
rnacentral:rRNA from 1 species